AGGCUCUUGGGUCGUAAACCUCUUUUCUCGGGAAGAACAAAAUGACGGUACCUGAGGAAUAAGCAUCGGCUAACUCCGUGCCAGCAGCCGCGGUAAUACGGAGGAUGCAAGCGUUAUCCGGAAUGAUUGGGCGUAAAGCGUCCGCAGGUGGCUGUGUAAGUCUGCUGUUAAAGAGUCUAGCUCAACUAGAUACAAGCAGUGGAAACUACACGGCUAGAGUACGUUCGGGGCAGAGGGAAUUCCUGGUGUAGCGGUGAAAUGCGUAGAGAUCAGGAAGAACACCGGUGGCGAAGGCGCUCUGCUAGGCCGUAACUGACACUGAGGGACGAAAGCUAGGGGAGCGAAUGGGAUUAGAUACCCCAGUAGUCCUAGCCGUAAACGAUGGAUACUAGGCGUGGCUUGUAUCGACCCGAGCCGUGCCGUAGCUAACGCGUUAAGUAUCCCGCCUGGGGAGUACGCCGGCAACGGUGAAACUCAAAGGAAUUGACGGGGGCCCGCACAAGCGGUGGAGUAUGUGGUUUAAUUCGAUGCAACGCGAAGAACCUUACCAAGGCUUGACAUGUCGCGAAUCCUGGUGAAAGCUGGGAGUGCCUUCGGGAGCGCGAACACAGGUGGUGCAUGGCUGUCGUCAGCUCGUGUCGUGAGAUGUUGGGUUAAGUCCCGCAACGAGCGCAACCCUCGUUUUUAGUUGCCAGCAUUAAGUUGGGCACUCUAGAGAGACUGCCGGUGACAAACCGGAGGAAGGUGGGGAUGACGUCAAGUCAGCAUGCCCCUUACGCCUUGGGCUACACACGUACUACAAUGCUCCGGACAGAGGGCAGCAAGCAUGCGAAUGCAAGCAAAUCCCGUAAACCGGAGCU
rnacentral:rRNA from 1 species